rnacentral:rRNA from 1 species
GCGGCGUGCUUAAUACAUGCAAGUCGUGCGAGAAAGUACCCUUCGGGGUGCGAGUAGAGCGGCAAACGGGUGAGUAACACGUAGUGUAACCUACCUCUAAAUCUGGAAUAACUCUGCCAACGCGGAGCUAAUACCGGAUGUGGUCACGAUGCUGCAUGGUAUUGUGACUCAAGGUGACCUCUCCUUGGCAGUUACCGUGUAGAGAUGGGCUUGCGGACCAUUAGCUUGUUGGUGACGUAACGGCUCACCAAUGCUACGAUGGAUAGCCGGCCUACGAGGGUGAUCGGCCACAUUGCGACUGAGAUACGGCCCAGACUCCUACGGGACGCAGCAGUAGGGAAUUUUGCGCAAUGGACGAAACUCUGACGCAGCAACGCCGCGUGAGGGAUGACGGCCUUCGGGUUGUAAACCUCUGUUGACUGGGAAGAAAAGCUUAGUGGUCAAUAUCCACAGAGCCCGAUGGUACCACUCGAUGAAGCUCCGGCUAAGUACGUGCCAGCAGCCGCGGUAGUACGUAGGGGGCUAGCGUUGUUCGGAAUCACUGGGCGUACCGGGAGUGUAGGCGGACCGGUACGUAAGGAGUUAAAUGUACGGGCUCAACCCGUGAUCUGCUUUCAAUACUGUCGGUCUUGAGUAUGGGAGAGGGCGAUGGAAUUCCAGGUGUACCGCUGGAAUGCGUAGAUAUCUGGAAGAGCACCAGUUGCGAAUGCGGUCUCCUGGACCAAUACUGACGCUGAUGCUCGAAAGCUGGGGGAGCGAACAGGAUUAGAUACCCUGGUAGUCCCAGCCGUAAACGAUGGACACUAGUUGCCGGAGGAGUCAAUCCCUUCGCUGACGAAGCUAACGCAGUAAGUGUCACGCCUGGGGAGCACGCUCGCAACGGGCGAAACUCAAAGGACUUGACGGGGGCCCGCACAAGCGGUGGAGCAUGUGCUUUAAUUCGAUGCAACGCGAAGAACCUGACCUGGGUUUGACAUGGGGGUGAAAGUUUCCAGAGAUGGAAGCCUUUCCUUCGGGUACACCCCACACAGGUGCUGCAUGGUUGUCGUCAGCUCGUGUCGUGAGAUGAUGGGUUAAGUCCCGCAACGAGCGCAACCCCUGCCCUUAGUUGCCAUCAGGUAAAGCUGGGAACUCUAAGGGGACAGCUUGGUAUAACCAGGAGGAAGGUGGGGAUGACGUCAAAUCAUCAUGGCUCUUA